UUGAAAGGGAAACGAUUGAAGUCAGUCAUGCUUGUAGGAAAUCAGCAUGGUGGGUAUUUGGUUUUACCAUUUGUCUUCUGUGUGCACUUUCUUGCUUAGCAGGUUAGCAUCAAUUUUAAUUGUCAUUAAAGAACUGAGGGAAUGUGGCUCUUCGGAGUGUUAUAGACCUUGGUAGAUGUGGCGAUUGGGAUUGAGGAUUGCAGCGAAUGCUUUUUGGCUAGUCACCUGUUCUCUGAUGGUCACCUCGCUAUCGAUAGCUUGCUAACGAUGGUGAGAUUUGAUUAUCUAGAUUGCAGAAUGAUCAUAAAUUCGCUAAGGAUGCUGACGUAAUGGCUUUAAACGACCCGUCUUGAAACACGGACCA
rnacentral:rRNA from 1 species